rnacentral:rRNA from 1 species
UUGAUUUAUAUAUAAAGUCUGACCUGCCCACUGAAAAUUUUAAAUGGCUGCAGUAAUUUGACUGUACAAAGGUAGCAUAAUCAUUAGUUUUUUAAUUAAAAGCUCGUAUGAAAGGUUGGACGAAGUAAAAUCUGUCUCUUUUUAAUAUAAUUAGAAUUUAAUUUUUAAGUAAAAAAGCUUAAAUUUUUAUAAAAGACGAGAAGACCCUAUAGAGUUUAAUAAUUUUAAUAAAAUAUUUAAUUAAGAUUUAUUAAUUUUAUUUAAUUAAAAUUAUUUUAUUGGGGUAAUAAAAAGAUUAAAAAAAUUCUUUUUUUUUAAUACAUUAAUUUAUGAAUAUAUGAUCCAUUUGUAGUGAUUAAAAGAUUAAAUUACCUUAGGGAUAACAGCGUAAUUUUUUUAAAGAGUUCUUAUCGAUAAAAAAGUUUGCGACCUCGAUGUUGGAUUAAAGAUUAAUUUAGGUGUAGAAGUUUAAAUUUUUGGUCUGUUCGACCAUUAAAUCUUUACAUGAUCUGAGUUCAAACCGGUGUAAGCCAGGUUGGUUUCUAUCUUUAUUAAUUUUUUAUAUUUUAGUACGAAAGGACCAAAUAUAAAAUAUAUAAAUAUUUUUAUUUUGAAUAUUAUU